UUACGAUUCACGAUCCGAUCCUACGAUCUACGAUCUCACCUACCUUCAACGAUCUUACAUAGGAUCCCGAUUUUGACAACCUUGCAGUCUUAGCUGUUGCCGCUGCCAGUAAAUGGGACAUUUUUCAAAUGGAUGUUAAAAAUGCCUUCCUUAAUGAGAAUUUAAGUGAAGAAGUUUAUAUGCAACCUCCUCCUAGUCUCUCUAUUGAAUCGAACAAGGUUUGUCACCUUCGACGUGCACUUUAUGGCUUUAAACAAGCUCCACAAGUUUGGUUUGCCAAGUUCAGCUCUACCAUCUCUCGCUUGGGUUACAUUGCCAAUCAUUAUGAUUCUGUCUUAUUUCUUUGUUGCAUCGACAAAUGCACCAUUUUACCUUUUCUAUAUGUGGGUGAUAUGAUCAUAACUGGUGAUGAUCUCAGUGGCAUUCAAGAACUCAAGGAUUUUCUCAAUCAAUAGUUUGAGAUGAAAGAUCUUGGACAUCUCAGCUACUUCUUAGAUUUUGAAAUCACUCAUUCCAUAGAUGGGUUUUAUAUUACUCAGGCCAAGUAUGCUUUUGAACUUUUGUCUUGAGCUAGACUCACUGAUAGCAAGACUGUUGACACUCCAGUUGAACUUAAUGCACAUUUGACUCCCUUAGGAGUGAAACCAUUGUCUAAUUCCUCUCUUUACAGAUGAUUGGUUGGUAGCUUAGUUUAUCUCACUGUCACUCAUCUAGACAUUUCCUAUGUUGUUCAUCAGGUGAACCAGUAUCUGUCUGCUCCACAAUCGACUCACUAUGCUAUUGUUCUGUGCAUUCUUCGAUACCUAAAGAGCACUCUCUUCCAUGGUCUUUUUUACUCUGUUCAAUCUCCUCUUAUUCUCCGUGUAUUCUCUAAUGCUGAUUGGGUAGGAAAUCCCAUUGAUUGCAGGUCCACCACUGGUUAUUGCUUUCUUCUUGGUUCUUCUCUGAUUUCUUGGCGAAGCAAGAAACAAACCCUUGUGGCCCGCUCCAGUACUAAAACAGAAUAUCAUGCCUUUACUAAUACCACAUCUGAGCUCCUUUGGUUAUGAUGGCUUUUUAAGGACUUAGACUAAACACAUCAAGAUUGAUUGUCAUUUUAUCCGUUAUCAUUUUGUUUAUGGUGCUCUCAAGCUGUUCUCAGUCUCUUCUAAAGAUCAAUUUACAGAUAUCUUCACCAAGUCACAUCAUAAGGGACGCCUUCGUGCUUUGGUUGACAAAUUCAAGUUGGUCUCACACCCACCUUGAGUUUGAGGGGGACUAUUAACGUGUAAUAGGACUGUGGGCUUUAGACUCACCUUGUUUGCUUGUAUAGCACAUAUACUUGUAUUACACACUUUGCUUCCUAUAUAAAGGCAAUCACAUAUAUUUUAUUCUUUGAGAAAUACAAUACUAUUCAUUUAGUAUUUCUAACAUCAUUGAUUACACACAGAUAUCUAUAAAAUGGCCAUCCACUCAGAUUGGUCCCCAUCUGUUGGAGUACCUAGAAUCUAUACCAGGUCAAAUUCAAACUCCAUUGUAUAUCAUUGCUUGGCCUACAAUCUCCUUUAAUAUGUUACAGUGCAAAGUUUGGGUUUCAUUUUCAGACGAAGAUAUAGAGAGGAUGAUUACCUGUGGUAGACAACUAAGGUGUCUAUGGGGUUAUGCUCUCGAAUCGGAGCCAUGUUCAGCACUGCAUGGGAUGUGGGAACUUCAAAGGAAAGUUAGGCAUUUUCACCAGUCAGUUGAGACAUUCUGGCUACACAACGGAUCUAUUGUAAAUAGAAACCUUGUGGAAUUCUCCCCCUGGAAACCUCCAAUGCUUUUGCCUUGAUCAUAGUUGGAGAUGAUCCCUUUGCUUGCCUGUAUCAUUUCUUUACAAAGCUAGACUUCAUAUUUUAUUCAUGUCAAUUAUAGAUUUUCUCAGGUUGAGCAUCCACCUCUUUUUUUCUUCCUUUUCCGCUUUAAUCUCUUUUAAAUGUAAUGUUAUGUAUAGACUAUAGACAUACUUAAGUAGAUUAUAUGGAAGAAAUUGUCGAUGAUCUAA